rnacentral:rRNA from 1 species
AGUGAACGCUGGCGGUAGGCCUAACACAUGCAAGUCGAACGGCAGCACAGUAAGAGCUUGCUCUUACGGGUGGCGAGUGGCGGACGGGUGAGGAAUACAUCGGAAUCUACUUUUUCGUGGGGGAUAACGUAGGGAAACUUACGCUAAUACCGCAUACGACCUACGGGUGAAAGCAGGGGAUCUUCGGACCUUGCGCGAUUGAAUGAGCCGAUGUCGGAUUAGCUAGUUGGCGGGGUAAAGGCCCACCAAGGCGACGAUCCGUAGCUGGACUGAGAGGAUGAUCAGCCACACUGGAACGGGGCCACGGUCCAGACUCCUACGGAAGGCAGCAGUGGGGAAUAUUGGACAAUGGUCGCAAGCCUGAUCCAGCCAUACCGCUUAGGUAAAAAAGGCCUUCGAGUUGUAAAGCCCUUUUGUUGAGAAAGAAAAGCAUCAGGUUAAUACCCCGCUGUUCUGACGGUACCCAAAGAAUAAGCACCGGCUAACUUCGUG